rnacentral:rRNA from 1 species
UACGAAGGGGGCUAGCGUUGCUCGGAAUUACUGGGCGUAAAGCGCACGUAGGCGGUCUUUUAAGUCGGGGGUGAAAUCCUGGAGCUCAACUCCAGAACUGCCUUCGAUACUGGAAGACUUGAGUCCGGGAGAGGUGAGUGGAACUGCGAGUGUAGAGGUGAAAUGCGUAGAUAUCGGGAGGAACACCUGUGGCGAAAGCGGCUCACUGGACCGCAACUGACGCUGAGGCGCGAAAGCUAGGGGAGCAAACAGG